rnacentral:rRNA from 1 species
UGCCAGCAGCCGCGGUAAUACAGAGGUCCCAAGCGUUGUUCGGAUUCACUGGGCGUAAAGGGUGUGUAGGCGGUGUGGAAAGUUUGGUGUGAAAGCUCCGGGCUCAACCUGGAAAUUGCACUGAAUACUACCACACUAGAGGAUCGGAGGGGAGACUGGAAUUCUUGGUGUAGCAGUGAAAUGCGUAGAUAUCAAGAGGAACACCAGUGGCGAAGGCGAGUCUCUGGACGAUUCCUGACGCUGAGGCACGAAGGCUAGGGGAGCAAACAGGAUUAGAUA